GUGAAGCCUUGUCUGAAUAAAAGCAGUGUUUGCCACUCUCUUUGGAUACAUGUAACGUUUGAGGAAGCUGUGUUGCUGCUGCUUGCGCCAUAUGUUUGAAAGAACAGGCAUAAUAUUGUCCAAGGCUUGGUGUAUUGGUCCAAGUUUGGUGGUGACAAUAGGCCAAGUACCACGGAGAGGCCUGAACACGAAACUUUAGUUGUGUCAGUCUUUAGUAGGCUUUGGUUUUGGUGGGUUUUGUACUUGAAGCUGUGUCGAUUUAAACUGCAAUUAUAGUUGCUCAUGAAAGUGGUCUUAUUUUAGGUGCUUGACUUCAAGGAAUUCAUUUAAGGUUACCCAGCAUAAGAAUCUUAAUGGUAGUGGUCGAAUUGGGCUUCAGAGAUGACAUUACUGUUAGCAAGGAAAUUAACAUGCGA